rnacentral:rRNA from 1 species
CCCUUAGAUGUCCUGGGCCGCACGCGCGCUACACUGAUGCAUUCAACGAGUUUUACCUUGGCCGAGAGGCCUGGGCAAUCUUUUAAACCUGCAUCGUGAUAGGGAUAGAUUAUUGCAAUUAUUAAUCUUGAACGAGGAAUUCCUAGUAAACGCAAAUCAUCAAUUUGCAUUGAUUACGUCCCUGCCCUUUGUACACACCGCCCGUCGCACCUACCGAUUGAAUGGUCCGGUGAAGCCUCGGGAUUGUGGCCAGUUCACUUUAUUGGGAGUUGGCUGUGAGAACUUGUCUAAACCUUAUCAUUUAGAGGAAGGUGAAGUCGUAGCA